rnacentral:tRNA from 1 species
AAGGGUGAAGUAUAAAAUUUUACAUUUCAGUUACAUUGAAAAGAUCCUUAAAUAAGGGCGCCCUUA